AUGGCGAGGGGGGCGAGGUCGAGGAGGACGCCGGCGGGGGAGGAGGACGCGGAGAAGGAGUACGAGGUGGACGUGGAGCCCGACCGGUGGAAGUCGUCGUCGUCGCGGAACAGCCGGCUCGAGCUCAUGGGCCGCCUCCCCCCGCUCCGCCGCCUAAGCCGCAUCCCGGGAGCCGCAGACGCCGACGCCGGGGGCGGGUUCCUCCGCGGCCUCGUCAUCCACCCCGACAACAAGUUGUACCGGUCAUGGACUAGGUUCAUAGUGGGUUGGGCAGUGUACAGUUCCUUCCUUACACCCUUCGAAUUUGGAUUCUUCAGGGGACUCCCUAAGAAAUUGUUCUUCUUGGACAUAGUUGGUCAGGUUGCCUUCCUUGUUGAUAUUGUCCUGAAGUUUCUUGUGGCCUACCGUGACCCUGACACAUACCGCAUCGUAUACAAUCCAAACUCUAUAGCCCUCCGGUAUUGCAAAUCAAGCUUCAUUUUUGAUCUCCUUGGUUGCUUUCCAUGGGAUGCUAUCUACAAGGCUUCUGGCCAUAAAGAAGAACUGAGAUACCUACUAUGGAUUCGCUUAACACGAGUGCUGAAGGUCAGGGAAUUCUUCACAGAAUUGGAAAAGGACAUCCGUGUGAAUUACCUGUUCACAAGAAUAGUAAAACUCAUAGUUGUGGAGCUCUAUUGUACACACACAGCAGCUUGUAUCUUCUAUUACCUGGCAACAACACUUCCUGAAUCAAUGGAGGGAUAUACAUGGAUCGGGAGCUUGCAGCUAGGAGACUAUAGCUAUUCCCAUUUCAGGGAGAUUGAUCUUGCCACGCGUUAUGUUACAUCAAUGUACUUUGCCAUUGUCACCAUGGCAACUGUUGGCUACGGUGACAUUCAUGCUAUAAAUGUUAGGGAAAUGAUAUUUGUCAUGAUUUAUGUUUCCUUUGAUAUGGUUCUUGGUGCUUACCUUAUCGGUAACAUGACUGCAAUGAUUGUGAAAGGCUCGGCAACCGAGCGAUUCAGGGAUAAAAUGAAAGAAGUUAUCAGGUAUAUGAACAGAAAUAGACUUGGAAAGGACAUCAGAGAACAGAUCAAGGGGCAUUUGAGGUUGCAGUAUGAGAGCAGCUGCACUGAAGCCUCUGUACUUCGGGACAUUCCUGUUUCUAUUCGUGCAAAGAUUUCUCAAACACUGUACAUGCCAUACAUUGAAAGGACUCCAUUGUUCAAAGGAUGUUCGGAAGAAUUCCUUCAACAGAUUGUGAUUAGGCUGCAAGAAGAGUUCUUCUUACCAGAAGAAGUUAUUUUGGAGCAAGGGAGUGCGGUUGACCAGUUAUACUUUGUCUGUCAGGGUGCACUGGAAGGUGCUGCCGUUGGCGAAGAUGGUCAAGAGACUAUUCUUAUGUUGGAGCAAGGGAAUUCUUUUGGAGAAAUUGCUAUUCUCUGCAACAUUCCACAGCCCUACACUGUUCGUGUUUGCGAACUUUGCAGGCUCUUACGGUUGGAUAAAGAAUCCUUCGCGCACAUAUUGGAGAUUUAUUUCACUGAUGGAAGAAAACUUUUGAGCAAUCUUACCGAGAGCGAUGAAUACGGCAAACGGGUUAAACACAUAGAAUCAGAUAUCACUUUCCAUAUAGGAAAGCAAGAGGAAGAGCUUACCUUAAGAGUUAAUAACGCCGCUUUUUAUGGCGACCUUCAUCAGUUGACUGGCUUAAUCCGGGCUGGAGCCAAUCCAAAGAAUAGUGAUUAUGAUGGGCGGUCUCCUUUGCAUCUUGCAGCUUCCAGAGGGUAUGAAGAUAUUGUGCAGUUCCUUAUCCAUCAAGGGGCUGAUAUCAAUCUGACUGAUAAAUUUGGGAACACGCCCUUACUAGAGGCGGUGAGGCAGGGGCAUGAUAGAGUGGCCACAUUACUCUUCAGCAAAGGAGCCAAGCUGAACCUCGAGAAUGCCGGUAGCCAUCUCUGCAUAGCAGUAUCGAAGGGAGACUCUGAUUUCAUUCGGGGGGCUCUAGCUUAUGGUGCUGACCCAAACUCGAAAGACUACGACCACCGCAAUCCUCUCCACAUAGCUGCUGCAGAGGGCUUGUAUAUUAUGGCGAAGUUGCUGGUAGAAGCUGGCGCAAGUGUGCUUGCAACAGACAGACGCGGUACUACUCCUCUGGAUGAAGGACACAAGUCCGGGAGUAAGCCACUUAUAAUGCUGCUUGAACAGGCGAAAGCCGACGAGCUCUCCAAGUUCCCCACACGAGGCGAAGAAGUGAGAGAUAAGAUGCAUACACGACGAUGCUCCGUGUUCCCUUACCAUCCAUGGGAUACUGAUGCCAAGCGAAAGGAGGGGGUGAUGUUGUGGAUUCCUCACACUAUCAAUGAACUCAUCGGGUCAGCCCAGGAGAAGCUGGGUUUGUCCAGCUCAUGCAUGCGCUUGCUCUGUCAGGAUGGCGCGACGGUCCAGGAUGUGGACAUGGUCAAUGACGGGCAGAAGCUCUAUCUGGUUGGAGACAAGGACAUGGGUGACAGCGAGUAG
rnacentral:rRNA from 1 species